AAAACAGAGAACAUCAGAGAUAAGCUUGUUGUUGGCAUCAAAGAUAAAGAGCUUUCAAGAAAGUUGCAGCUGAUGAGUGACCUCAAUUGACACAUCGGUGCUGAUGGUGAGGCAGGCGGAGGACAUCGCACAGCAGGUGAGCCAACAAGAGGAAGGUGCGACAAGCAGUGUUCAGGAGGUUACAUGCAGACUACCUGAAAGGAGAGGAAAAUGGGAUGAAAAGAAGCCAGCAAGAGGAAAGAGGGAUAGAAUGGCUGGUGGCGGAUGGUGCGGAAAAUGUGGAAAAAUGAAGCAUCACUACAAGGAAAAUUGCCCCGCAACAGAAAGUGAGUGUUGAAAAUGUAAAAAGAAAGGACACUGGGAGCGUAUGUGUUACUCAAGGACAGUUAAUGAGGUAACAAGAGGAACACACACACAGCCAAGUGAUGAUGAUGAUGAUGCAUAUUACCUGGGAACGGUAAGCAAAACUAGUCAAGACGUCUCAGAGAACAGGUUUGUGAAAUUGAACGUGAAAGGCUCACGAGUAAAAUUUAAAAUUGAUACUGGAGCUGACGUGACCGUCAUGAAUGAGGAGACUUUUAAUUCGCUUGGAAGUAAAGUUAAACUGAGUCAGACACAUGCGAAAUAUGACAGCCCAGGUGAAAGUAUAAAUUGUUUAGGACAAUUUGAAAAGACCACGGAGUACAAAGAUAAAAAGUUCAAGUUCACAAUUCACGUCAUGGAGGGCGACACCAUGAACAAUCUGCUAAGCAGAGAACAAGCAGUUAAAAUGGGCUUAGUUAAAAGAAUCGAGAAAGUCAGCGCAGCUUUCGGUGAACAGGGAAUAAUGAGAACAGAACCUGUUAAAACAAAUCUAAAAAAGAACGUAGAGCCUUACGCAGUCCACACCGCGAGAAGAGUGCCGUUACCAUUACUCCCCAAAGUUAAAGCUGAACUUCAGAGAAUGGAGGAGAAUAUAGUCAUUGAAAAGAUAACGAAACCUACGGAAUGGUGCGCGCCGAUGGUACCUGUGAUGAAACCUAACGAUUUCUGUCCAAUGUGAGAAAAACCCUGAGGGUAAAGAUGGACUGGUGAUAUUCGACAAGGAGGCAUUUCCUGUUGCCAACUUUCUUUAUCUUUCCAGAGUAGAAGAUCAUGCUAAAGAUGAAGAAUGAAUGUUUAUGACAUAAUUUUUUGUUGAGAAUCUGGACAGAAAAUGUAAAGCGACAAUUGGCACAAACAUGAAAAUAUUAAAAAGUGUAUUGUAUUCUAAACAUUUGUGCGUUAAAUGUUUUGUGUUCUCAAGACUACAAUAUAUGACCACAAACAUUCACAGUUCACCUUCCAUUUGUCAAUGAUUCCCCAGCUAUGUCUAAAUGAUGUUGACUUGGUUUUUCAGUGGUUGUGAAUGUGCUUUAAGCUUGCAAACUUCAUGCAACAGGCCUAAAACUGAAAGGAAAUCUGAACACACAUAAUCUGUGGCAUAUUAUCAGUUUGUAUUGAGUUUUCUUGGUCAUAUGGCUGCUUUUGUCACAUAGACCUAGCAAACAUGAUGCAAAAAUGGCAGGGGUAUAAAUCUCAAAUAUCUCUUUUUAUAUUAGACUGCCUUGGUCAUAAGUAUUGUUAUUUAGGCACUGUUUAUAUCUAGUAUUAAGAUGUGUUUUCACUGAUCGUAUCACGAGUGAAGAAGAAAGACACAUUCAAGUUUACACCUUGUAUUUUAAUCUAUCUCUUUUGUCCACUUUCGACCACUUCUGCCCUGUUUACUUUAGAGGGGUGAUCUGUGUGCUUUCAUUUAAAUGCGAGCGGGAGAAAAGACGGCUUUAAAUUGACACAAACUAAUAUUAGGUCAGUCUGCUCCUUGUGUUGUUAGUAAACAUGCUGUACAGAGUUUUGUACAUGUACAGUGGUGUGAAGAAGUGUUAAUCCCCCCUCCAGAUUUCUUUUUACAUAUUUGUCACACUUUAAUAUUUAAGAUCACCUAACAAAUUUAAAUGUAGUUUUUAAAUGAACUACAUGGAUCUGUGUGAAAAAGUUCUAGCCCCCUUAACCUAAUAACUGAUUGGACCACCCUUAGCAGCAACAACUGCGAUCAAGCGUUUGCGUUAACUUGCAAUGAGUCUGUUACAGCGCUAGGGAGAAAUUUUGGUCCACUCAUCUUUGCAGAAUUGUUGUAAUUCAGCCACAUUGAAUGGUUUUCGUGCAUGAACCCCCUUUUUAAAGUGCCAGUCAGGGUCUAAGCUUCCUAAUAUUGUUAAGGAGUUCCCAACAGCAAGUUUGCAUGGUUUACAUUGAUGGACAGCUACAUGACACACUGCGAUACAUGUAAUUUUUGAUCUGUCUGAAAUUGGAUCUGUCUGGCAAUUUAAGGUCAUGCCACAGCAUCUUAAUAAGAUUCAGGUCAGGACUUUGACUAGGCCACUCCAAAGUCUCCAUUUUGUUUUCCUUCAGACUGUUGUGGCUGUUCGAACACAUUCGACCACAUAGGAGUUAACACCACAAAAGCGAUCCGGUAAAAUGGGUUUUCGACUACUACUGAAUGUGGUUAAAAGUGGAUGAGCUCAAAAUGUUUUUAGUGUCAUCCCUUUGUUUCUCACCCCAUUGCUCCCCCCUCUAUGCAACACCUCGGUACCUGCCUUACAGCUCCUUCCUCUGUCCCCAUGAGCAGGGCCGUUUCUAGGCAAACUAGGCGCACGUCAAAAGAGCGCAUUAUUGACUGCUGCUUUACUGACUUGAAUAAGUGAAAAAUGAGCACCGCAACAAAAUAAAAAUAAAUCUGUUUAACACAGAAUGGACAGUAAAAUAUUUCACCAACAUCAGACAGAGGGUGGUAUGUGUGAUUUGCCCAAAAGUAUUGUUGGUUUCCUUUUUCUAUUGUUUUAUGAUAAUUGAUAUGUAAUAAUUAUCAAGCAAUGCACUUGUGAUCAUGUGCCCUUAAGAAAAUGAAUCAUGAUUAAACUAUAGUAAACUAUAGUUGCCUUCAACCCUGCUAAAGGCAAACAUCUCUGCUGUAUCUCCAUUUAUCACUAAAAUCAUAAACCACUCACUACGGGCCGACCAUAUCCCAUCCUCAUCUAAAACAGCUGUCAUCAGACCUCUAUUGAAAAACCCACCCUGGAUCCAGAAGUUCUCUCCAACUACAGGCCCAUAUCCAAUCUUCCAUUCCUAUCAAAGGUUCUUGGAAAAUUGUUGCAGCACAACUUCAUGAUCACAUCAAAUACAAUAAACUGUAUGAAAAAUUUCAGUCUGGUUUCCGUCCUGGCCAUAGCACAGAAACAGCCCUGGUCAGAGUCACCAAUGACCUCCUGAUGGCAGCAGAUACUCGUUUUCCAUCACUACUCAUCCUCCUGGACCUCACAGCUGCUUUUGAUACAGUAGAUCACAAGAUCCUUCUCCACCGCCUGCAAUACACCAUUGGACUCUCAAAAAACUAUCACAACGUCUUAACUGACCGACAGAACUGAGCAUGUCGCCUUGGGCAAAGCCAAAUCAGACACCCACAGUGUCCCCUGCGGUGUUCCUCAGGGCUAUGUGCUUGGCCCCACCCUCUUUCCUAUCUACAUGUUCCCCCUCGGCGAUAUCAUUAGCAGAGAUGGCAUAACAUUUCAUUCCUAUGCAGAUGACACACAGCUCUACCUUAAGAUAGCCCCACCUCUUCUGCUCCCCUGCCAACAACCACACUGACCACCUGCCUGGAGGAGAUAGAGGCAUGGAUGAAGCUCAAUAGGCUUUAUGCCCAGCUGCACUACUUCCUGAACUUCAGCCAGCUCCUUGUUUCCUGUCGGCCAUUAUUGGAAAAACUGAUUAAUCCAGGUGUGUCUGAUUAUUAUUGUUGUUGUGACUACUGAGGUCAGGCACACCUGGGUUGGUACAUUUUAUACUCGUUUUAUUUGCAUCAAUGUGCUAUAUUUUCUAAAAUAAAACAAAAAAAUAUCUGCCUCCAUAUGUUUUUUAUAAAGUCUGAUAGGUCUCAGCUGUUGUGUCCCACUGACAAACAUAUUGGGAGGGAACAGCAAAUGACUCAGCUCUCCCCGUAGGCUAAACCGUCACAUUUCAGUUCGCUUUGUUGCCUUCAAAGUCUGUGACCUUAAAAGAAUCCAGACCCUGAAUUGGGAUGCCCAAACAAGGAAAUAUUUGGGCUGUCAGUGUAAAUAAAGUAGACAUCUAUCUAAUCAUAGCCCCAAAUGAAAUAAAAUCAGUUAAUGAAACCAAACCCUUUGUCACUGCUGAACUUGUUUACAUACAUCUCAAAAGUUAUUUGGCAAAAACAACAUGUAAGUAGUCCAGCAUCCUGAGAUUCAUCGGAAAAAAAUGAAGCGCCGCUGUGUCGGGCAGGAUGUUAUGUGAAAAUUAUGGAUUCAACCACACCCGAUAUUCUAAUCAUUAUCAUUCACUACUGGAUCAUAACUAAAAAAAAUACUUAUAUGAAAGUGACAUGUUUGUCAAGUGUGGAAAACAUCCGACUCGAAAUGUUAUCUGCAUUUAGCCCAUCCCACUGAGUAGAGAACAUACAGACUUCAAGUCUUCAGGAUACUUCAUUCUCUAACAUCGAGGCUGCGAUGGACUACUGAUCUGCAUUCAGAGAUGAAAGCUGGAAUUUUGUAUGCAAUUUGAAGGGGACAACCUGUUGCAAAUUUGUUGGAGGAUUAAACCUUAGGGAGAAUUAUUUCCCAUUGAGAGACGACGUUGAGGUUAAGGACUUAAGGCCUGUUGCACGUCAACCUCAGAUUUCUCUGCAAUGUGAAGAAAACCCUGUGGGUAAAGAUGGACUGGUGAUAUUUGACAACGAGACGUUUCCAUUUCAUGUCAGGGUAGAAGAUCAUGCUGAAGAUGAAGGAUGAAUAUUCAAGACAUUAUUUAAAAUUGAAUAAUCACACAUGCAUUAAAAUAUAUUGAAAAGUGAAAACUUAAUUAAAAUUCUAAAUAUUUGAGCA